AAAAAGGGUUCAUGCUUCUCCUUUGAGCCCAAGUUCAUUAUUAAGGAUGUACAGAGUUGCACCUCAUUCACCAUACGAUCCUUUGCAUCUCGUCCCAAAAAUGUUAAAUGAUCCCUCACCGGCAGCAUUAGAUUCUAGAGGUGCAUUUAUUAUACACAUACCUUCAUCGGUAUAUGUAUGGAUUGGUAAGAAAUGUGAAGCAAUCAUGGAAAGAGAUGCCAGUGGGGCUGUUUGCCAGAUUGUUCGUUAUGAGAAAGUGCAGGGCCCUAUCAUAACAGUCCUUGAAGGUGAGGAACCUCUGUACUUCUGGGAUGCUUUCUCCAAUUUCCUGCCAUUGAUGGACAAAUUAAAGAAUGGACGGGAUGUUGUUGAGUCAUCAAGUAAGAUUUGUCCAGGGGAAAGAAAGGUGGAUAAUUAUGAUGUUGACUUUGAGAUUUUCCAAAAAGCUACUUCAGGUGGCUUUGUUCCUCCUUUUGCGUCGUGUGAGACUGAACAUGAAACCCACCUUCCAGUUAGAGAAAGUUCUUGGAGCAUGCUAA
rnacentral:misc_RNA from 1 species